GGAUCAGCAGAGCCUGGUAUGCGUGGGUGAGAAUGGCAUGGACUCAUCCGCUUUCCUGAGCUGACUUGUUGAAACUGUCACACUCAUGCUCACCUAAUGGCUGCAGCAAAUAAACCAAGUAUAAAUGCCGCAGAGUUGGCCAUCUUAGCCCUGGCCUAUUACCUUCAUCUCUCCCUUGCUCCUCUGCAUACCGUCAGGUCAGCAGCAUUGGCUCCCCCUGGAAGCUGGAGAGAAAGGCAAAAUCUGUGGCCCUCUCCCCAGACCAUCCGAUCAGAAUCUGCAAUUUCACAAGAUCCCCAGGUGAUUCAUAUGCACGCUAAGGUCUCAUCCACACUGAAGACAGAAACAGUCUAUGCAUUAGGUUGUCCCUGGAUCUGUUUUCCAUGGUUCCUGCCCUUUGAUUUUAUGCUCCUUAUCAAGGAUGGCCCCACCUACCACACCCAUAAUUCCUCAACAUAUAUUAAAGGCUCAAGCAAAUGUCUCAUGGAAAGAGGCCAGGGUGGAUCUGCCAACCUGACAUCUUUCUGUUUUUAACACAUGGCUUGAUUGCAUCAAGUGGAGGAGAAGAGCGCAUGGAUGAGCACCUGUGAGAGAUUUUAUAGCAGUCACCAUAAUGUGACCCCUUACAUUCCAUUGGUGGGACCACACCUAGCUGCAAGGGAGGAUGGGAGAUAAAGUCUUGUGUGUUCAGAAAGAAUAGGAAUCAUGUUUUGUGAACUGCUCUCUAGUUUCUGCCUCGGCAGGUACACACUGAAUACAAGUAAUAUUGGGGGCACAACAGUGAGGGGUGAUAGGGAGUAUUAAAGGGAAAUAUUGCCUCCAUGUCUAAAUGGUGCCAGGUAGAAAUGCAAACCAUGGACAGCCAGACCGCCCAGUCUCUAAGGAGCACAGGCUUCUCAAUUGAUGUGUAAAAUCUCUUGAUUGUAAAAUGUUGGUGAUGNNNNUAUUUAAAAAAACAACAAUAUGUAGAAUGUAGGGACUUCCCUGGUUAAGAUUCCAAGCUUCCACUGGAAGGACCUGGGUUUGAUUCCUGGUUGGGAAAAUCAGAUCCUACGUGUUACAGGGUGGCAAAACAAAACAAAACAAAACAAAAAAACAGUGUAGAGUAUAAAGAAAAUGCCUAUGCAGGUCAGUGUUCCCUACAUAUUUCAGGCUACCAACGUGUAGUACCUAUGUUGUGCUACAUGGGAAAGUCCUAGAAUAUCAGAUAAGAGCCUAGGAGGCAGAUGACCUACAGGUGACAAUCAGCCUGGACUACCCUAGGCAAAAGGAUGAAGGGGAGAAAGCAGCCCGAGUUCUUGUUAGGCCUCCCUCCCAGGGCCUAGGAGAAGCUCCAAGGGGACGGGGAAAAGCCCUUUGAUUAGGCAUUUCCAAACCCUUUUCAAAGAAGAACCGGUCUUGUCUUCUGUUGCCAUGCAGGACAUGGUAAGAAAGCAGCCAUCUACAACCCAGAAAGAGAGCUCUCUCUAGGAACCCAACUGACUUUCACCUUGACCUCUGUCUUUUCAGCCUUUAGAAAUGCUCAAAGGAUCAAACAUUGCGGAGACCACCGAGUGAUAUAAGACGCCCACUGUCACCUUAACUCAUUGUUAAGGUGACAAGUUCGGUGUUCCAAGCUGCCUAAAAGCCUUUCAAAUUGGGUCUAAACUUCUAUGCGUGACC
ensembl:lncRNA